rnacentral:rRNA from 1 species
GACGAACGCUGGCGGCGUGCUUAACACAUGCAAGUCGAACGGAAAGGCCCUGCUUUUGUGGGGUUCUCUAGUGGCGAACGGGUGUGUAACACGUGAGUAACCUGCCCUUGACUUUGGGAUAACUUCCGGAAACUGGGGCUAAUACCGGAUAGGAGCUCCUGCUGCAUGGUGGGGGUUGGAAAGUUUCGGCGGUUGGGGAUUGACUCGCGGCUUAUCAGCUUGUUUGUGGGGUAGUGGCUUACCAAGGCUUUGACGGGUAGCCGGCCUGAGAGGGUGACCGGCCACAUUGGGACUGAGAUACGGCACAGACUCAUACGGGAGGCAGCAGUGGGGAAUAUUGCACAAUGGGCGGAAGCCUGAUGCAGAAACGCCGCGUGCGGGAUGACGGCCUUCGGGUUGUAAACCGAUUUCGCCUGUGACGAAGCGUGAGUGACGGUAAUGGGUAAAGAAGCACCGGCUAACUACGUG